ACUUGAUAAUAUGGUGAUCGAAAAUCCAAGGGGAUCGGAUAAGAUUGAUAUUCAUUUCAAAUAUUCUUUAAAAUCAGUAGAAGAAUGGUCGAAAGAUAUAUUUAACAAACCAAUUAUAAAUCAUCCAGUGAUAUCAGUUUUUCUUAGACAUUUAUGGUUUCGUGAGUGUUUAAUCGCCAAGAGAAAAUUAGCAAUGAUAAUAAUAUGACGACAGACAAAAAUAAAGAUACUUUAUCAAAACUAGUAGAUAAAUUAGAUAAAAUGGUGAUCAUACCGAAAGAAGGAACAAAUAAAAUAGAAAUAAAUUUUGGAAAUAGUGUUGUUUCUUUGGUGUCAAUAGAGCAGUGGUCAAAGGAUACAAUUAAAAAAUCAAUUAUUAAUCAUCCAGUAAUAACAAUUUAUCUCACACAUUUUUGGUACCGUGAAUGUUUCAAAAUAUACUUAAUGUAUUUAAUUUCUUAUAUUAUUUUCUGUAUCUUACAUGUUAUGUAUUUAUUAGGAUAUUUAAAAAAUUGUUUUGAAUUUGUUUUCUUGAUGUACAUUUUAAUAUUCCUUGUAAUA